rnacentral:lncRNA from 1 species
GCAGCCAACGUUCUUGAUGUUAGGAGAAAGCAGAAAAUUUUCAAGGAACUGAGAGCCAGAAGGCUAAACCUGGGAAGAAUGCUCCAGGGAAGCUUUGCCAGGUGGGAGGCACCAGCAGUGCUCUGAAGCAACCACCUACUUCUUGAAGGAUGGGGAUGAACCAGUGAACCAAGUCAAUGCUCCCCAUUAGAUUGCUCCAUCUUCUCGCUGGUUAUGGGGAUUACUGCAAGGCUGCAACCACUGUGACACUGCUGCUGUGAUGUGAUAUAGUCUGCAUGCCUGGGCCACACCUAAAUUCUUGGUGAACCAGAAGAAGCUCAAGAGCCUUGAAUUUGUGAUCCCUCAUCCAGUUGAUUUCUGUACCAAAAUUUGCCCUUUGAGUUCCAAGCAAAAUAAAAUAUUCACUUUAGCUUUGUAAUUUAACAACAGGGCUGGAACCUUAUCUUUUUAUGUCAAAAAUACUUCUAAAGGUAAUGACAUUUCAAUUGUUCCUCUGAAGCACUUUGGGUCCAUAAGAGCCAGCUGAAGCUAUGAUAUUCUGUGCAUGUGCAUGUACACGUGUAUGCACACAGCUUACAGCAAUGAGAAGAAAUUAGAUAUAGAGAGUUAGGUUUGAGUUACCCUUGAAUGGAGAAUGGGAGAUAAAAACAACAGCAAUGCUGCCAUUCUCAAGUGUUUGCUAUUCAAAAGCUAGGAAAUCAACCCCGAGUCAAAAGUUUAAAUAAAAAAGAGAUUCUAUCUAUUUGGAUUCCAGUUUUAAACUAUGGAGUUGUACAUUUCCAAGUUUUUUUCAGCAACAUUGAGAGUGGUAUGGCAAAUACAUAUUUUGUUUUAAAAAUAAUUUUAUUUCUGUGAAAGAAAUUUCUUCUAGGAUAUCUGAUGAACCCUAGCCAGGUCCUUGGUGGCAAAUCCCUUGUCUUUUUUCUACAUUGCACUUCUGGGUCAUCGACCAACUUGUUUCUAUAUAAAAAAAAAUGUGACUGGAAUUUGCAGAUUGCAAGAAUGACAGAUGUAGAGACUUUCAUAAACUGAUGAGUCCAUUAUGGAAUUAUAUCGUUAACUCACGUGCAAAACUAAUUGUAUGAAGAAUGUUUAUGCUGCAGUUGUUUGAGAAGAACAAUGGUGAGUUAAAAGCUUUUUGUCUUUUUUUUUUUAAUCCAGUGAUGCUUUAUGCUAUAUGAACUCAUCACUAGAGACAUCAAAAAUCUUUAAAAAUUGAGUUACACAGGUAACAUGACCAGGAUGUGCCCAGAAAUCUAAUGUUUGAUUUAUUUAUUUUUAAUUAGUAAGUGCUUUGUGUAGUGCAGAGAAACAAACCG